AUUGAACGCUUGCGGCAGGCCUAACACAUGCCAGUCGAACGUGUUGCGGACGGGUGAGUAAUGUCUUGGAAACUGCCUGAUGGAGGGGGAUAACUACUGGAAACGGUAGCUAAUACCGCAUACCAUCAGAUGUGCCCAGAUGGGAUUAGCUUGUUGGUGGGGUAACGGCUAACCAGGGCGACGAUCCCAAGCUGGUCUGAGAGGAUGACCAGCCACACUGGAACGGAGACACGGUCCAGACUCCUACGGGAGUCAGCGGUGGGGAAUAUUGCACAAUGGGCGAAAGCCUGAUGCAGCCAUGCCGCGUGUAUGAAGAAGGCCUUCGGGUUGUAAAGUACUUUCAGCGGGGAGGCGUUACCCGCAGAAGAAGCAACGGCUAACUCCGUGCCAGCAGCCGCGGUAAUAC
rnacentral:rRNA from 1 species